UACGAAGGGGGCUAGCGUUGCUCGGAAUCACUGGGCGUAAAGGGCGCGUAGGCGGCCCGCUAAGUCGAACGUGAAAUCCCCAGGCUCAACCUGGGAACUGCGUCCGAUACUGGCAGGCUUGAAUCCGGGAGAGGGAUGUGGAAUUCCAGGUGUAGCGGUGAAAUGCGUAGAGAUCCGGAGGAACACCGGUGGCGAAGGCGGGUCUCUGGGCAACAACUGACGCUGAGGAGCGAAAGCGUGGGGAGCGAACAGG
rnacentral:rRNA from 1 species